GAUUUAGAGAAAAAGGGGUAAAAAUUUAGAUUCUGGGGGUGUUUUUGAAAAGAAAAUCAGAAACUGGGGUCAAAAUAUAAUUUAGGAAAGUUGUGCCACGUGAGCAACCCCGGCCAACCAGAACACGCCGCGUGGCAAGGAAGCUAACGCGGGAGGCCACGCGGGACAGAGCCACGUGGGUGAUCCGCGUGCACGCGAUCGAACGGUCCAGAUCUCACGCGUGCGGACGGCCCAGA
rnacentral:lncRNA from 1 species